rnacentral:rRNA from 1 species
GAUGAACGCUGGCGGCGUGCUUAACACAUGCAAGUCGAACGAGAAGUGGAGACGGAAACCUUCGGGCGGAAGACUUUAUUUCGAGUGGCGGACGGGUGAGUAACGCGUGGGUAACCUGCCUCAUACAGGGGGAUAACAGUUGGAAACGACUGUUAAUACCGCAUAAGACCACAGCACCGCAUGGUGCGGGGGUAAAAACUCCGGUGGUAUGAGAUGGACCCGCGUUCGAUUAGCCAGUUGGCGGGGUAACGGCCCACCAAAGCGACGAUCGAUAGCCGAUCUGAGAGGAUGACCGGCCACAUUGGGACUGAGACACGGCCCAAACUCCUACGGGAGGCAGCAGUGGGGAAUAUUGCACAAUGGGGGAAACCCUGAUGCAGCGACGCCGCGUGAGUGAAGAAGUAUUUCGGUAUGUAAAGCUCUAUCAGCAGGGAAGAAAAUGACGGUACAUGAGUAAGAAGCCCCGGCUAACUACGUG